AUGAUGGGACGUGAACAGUGGACCCUAAGCAGGCCAAGGGUGGGUAGGGAUGGUGGUACCCAGAUGCCCAAGUCCUCCAGGCAAUACUUGACUCAGGUCCAGCCCCAAUUGGUCCCCUUACUUUCUGCCAUGGAGUUCCAGUGGGUCACUCUCCCUGGCACACCUUCCAGGUUGGAUUUUUAAUGAAACAGACUCGGGGGAGGUCGGGGCUGGCAGGGAUCCUAGGAUCCUUGUGAUUUUUCUUAGCACUUUAUGUCAGGGAAACCUACACUGAGGUCCGCACUUGUGCCACUGACAGGGACUGACUAGGGGAGAAGGUCCUGCGGCCCCCUUCCUUGGGGUGUGUGCUGGGACCUGUGGUUUGCUGGCGGAAACAAGUGAUGAGGCUGGUUAGCGGAUGUGGGAGGCUGUGGCCCUAGGGGGCCAUAGGGUGCGGUGGAACUGCAGGCCCUGCUGAUGACGGCAGCCAGCUGCUUCGGGGAACCAGGUGUCCAAGGCCACCUCCGCAGGGGCUUCCUCUUCAGCCUGCCUGGGGUGAGAGGUCGGUGCACCACAGCCAAGGCUGGGGCACAGGGAGUUUCUGUCUCUGGAAAACCAGCCAUUCCUCCUCCCUGUGGUCAGAAUUCUUUGCCCUAUCUGACCUGAACUCGCUUAGGGAGUCAUGCCACUCCCCACUGUGGCCAUGGUUUCUCUUCCUGUAAAAUUUUAUUUUAUCAUUUUUUUUGUUUGUUUCUGAGAUGUAGUCUCAUCCUGUCACCCAGGCUGGAGUGCAGUGGUAUGAUCUCGGCUCACUGCCACCUCUGCCUCCCUGGUUCAAGCAAUUUUCCCGCCUCAGCCUCCCGAGUAGCCGGGAUUCCAGAUGCCCGCCACCAUGCCUGGCUAAUUUUUUGUAUUUUUAGUAGAGAUGGGGUUUCAUCAUGUUGGCCAGGCUGGUUUCGAACUGACCUCAGGUGAUCCGCCCACCUCGGCCUCCCAAAGUGCUGUGAUUACAGGCGUGAGCCACUGUGCCCGGCUACUUCCUGUAAAAUUUUUAAAUGGAGGAUUGGGUGAGAGUUAUGGUUUCCAGCCUGGUGCCUGGAGUGCUGAGCUAGUGGUGCACUCCAGGACACCUUUGCUUUAUCUUACACGGCCACCUGGAGCCGGCUCAAGUGGCUAAAACAUCCUGGGGCCCAGAGCCAGGUGAUAGGUCCCUCUGGCCAACUGGACAGCUGAGGUCUGUGGCUACCCGAAGCCCAGCUGGGGCCCUGGCCCAGUCUCGCCUCCCAGACUCUGCACCUGCUGGCAUAGCUGCCCACCUCUGUGUGAGCUGCUCUAGGCCUAGGGCCUCAGUUGUAAGAGUGUUGGGGUGGGGUAGGGGGCAGGCCAUCGUCCUUCAGCACAAAGAAGGAGCCAUGAGGGGCUCCCACGACCUCCCGAGACUUGUCGUAAAUGUUCUAGUCCACAUAUAAGGGUAGGGUUGGAGUUACCAUUUCCUGAGCACAUCUGUGAGGUGCCGAGCUGGGUACUUGACAGUCAUUUGCUUGGAGAAGCAGCUGCUAUUAGACCCAUUUUAUAGGUGAGAGAACCAAGUCUCACAGAGGCGUGAGUUCAAAUCCCACCUCUGCUGUGACUGGCAUGUGGUCCCACUAACUGGCAUGUGACCCUACCCAUCCUUCGCUGCUCUGAGCCUAGACCCUGGCCCCUGCCUGGCUCCCUGCCACCCCUCAUGGCCUCUGAUGGUCAUUGUGGGGGUCUCUGCCUGGCUCCCAGGGCUAGGGUUAGGGCUCUGGGGGUGCUUUCACUCAGCCAAGGGGGCCACAGCACUGGGGAGUGAAACUGCCCCGCCUCACCCUGCUUUGCCCUCUGGGCCUGUGAGGGUGGGCUGGCAGGAGGCCUAGGCCCUGCCCCAGGGACAGUCCUGCUUCCUCAUUUUUUAGGUAGGGAAACCUAGGCUUCAAGAGGACUCACUGACUUGCCUACUUUCAAGAUGACUUCAGGUGGGCUCAGUUUUGGGGCUUGGGAAAAUGACCCAGUGGCUUUGGGAAGCACCCCAAGCCCAGGACGAAACAUGCUUCUCUUACUGUGGUUCCAUCCGAAGGACUGUGGUGAGCCCCGUGCCUUCCGUUAAUAAAGAUUUUUAUUGUGAAAAGA